rnacentral:tRNA from 1 species
CAGAACAUAGCUUAAAAAAGCACUUCGCUUACACCGAAUAGACGUCUAUUAAACCUGGACUGUUCUGAG